rnacentral:tRNA from 1 species
GCCGAAGUGGCGGAACAGGCAGACGCGCACGACUCAAAAUCGUGUGGGGAAACCCAUGUGGGUUCGAUUCCCACCUUCGGCACCA